rnacentral:rRNA from 1 species
UAGGGAAUCUUCCACAAUGGACGUAAGUCUGAUGGAGCAACGCCGCGUGAGUGAAGAAGGUCUUCGGAUCGUAAAACUCUGUUGUUAGAGAAGAACACGAGUGAGAGUAACUGUUCAUUCGAUGACGGUAUCUAACCAGCAAGUCACGGCUAACUACGUGCCAG